ensembl:lncRNA novel transcript, antisense to PELI1
AAACAGUUCUCAUUUUGUGUGCUCGGCUGACUGCACGUCCAGCCUCGGGCCAGCUCGAGACGGCCACAUUGUGAGUCUGUGGGAGGGGUUCUACCGAGACGAAUGGACUUUUCUGAGGCAGGGCCCAGGAGCUGUAAUUCGAGGGGCCUCAGAUCUCCCUGCCACCCACCUGCCAGGGCCUGGUUGAAGAUGGCUGAGCGUAAAACAGAAUGCAAGUCAGCUGGAGCACGUACUACUGGAGGCAGAGCCCCAUGAGAAGGGGCCAAGAACCCGCACCCAUCAAAAUCAAGAAGAAAGGCUGAACCCGGAGAGAAAAGGGAGCAACUGAUGUUGCCAUGCAGAUCCCUUGGUUGCUAUGAGAUGGUAACAUCACUCUGCCCCACCAUUGGCCAGUGCCUCCUCAGCUGCGGUGCCUCCCAGGCUGUGUGGUUCUCACGCGGGCCACUGACACAGAGCUGUUACUAUGGUGAACUUUACAAUUUCCUUUGAUUGGUGGAUUUCAGAAAUAGGCCAUCAGCGGAAUUCAUUAUAUUCAGCUAAGUAAAAAUGAAAAAUAAAUACUAUAACUUUCCCCUCAUCACUAACAUGAAGGAAACGUGACCCUUCAUGACAUAAUAAAUCGCUGUUCGGUAACUUAGGAUCCUUCAGGGGACUGAAGCGGGAUGAUCCUCCUAUGCCAAAUUUGGGUGGGAAAGAUAUUCCCUGUAGCUUUGAGUCGACUCUUCAGAGUUAAGGGCAGUGGGCCAACCAGAGUUGGAACUUCAGAGUUGGGAGGAGGUGUGGGAUGGGGCAUGCAUUGAAAUGUAAACUCUAUUGUCUCUGAAGUGAUGGGUGAUGCUGGGGGCCUGAGUGUGGAGGGCAGUUUUACAUCUCAGGACAAUGUUUUCUCAGAUGCUCUUCCAGAAAGAAAAGCCAGGAGUACUCCUGGCUGGAGGCGGCAUGCCUGAGGUCAGAGUCAAAGUAGGGUUUGUGCUGUCUGAAUCCUUUCUCCCACUCUCCCCAGCCUGGCUCAGCUUCUCAGCUUCUCAGGUGGAUUGGUGAGUCCUGGCCAAUUACGCUUCAGCUCAUCUCUACUCUCAGCAAAUAGGAAAAGGGAGUGAAGGACUGAGUUUUAACUCUUCUAAUUUCGUAACCUGACUCUCUAUAAGAAAAAGUAGGAGAAAGACUGAAGAACCCGAGAGAACAGGCCUCUGAGCCCAAGCCAAGCCAUCGCAUCCCCUGUGACUUGCCCGUAUAUAUGCCCAGAUGGCCUGAAGUAACUGAAGAAUCACAAAAGAAGUGAAUAUGCCUUGCCCCACCUUGACUGAUGACAUUCCACCACAAAAGAAGUGUAAAUGGCCGGUCCUUGCCUUAACUGAUGACAUUACCUUGUGAAAGUCCUUUUCCUGGCUCAUCCUGGCUCAAAAAGCACCCCCACUGAGCAUCUUGCGACUCCCACUCCUGCCCACUGAGCACCUUGUGACCCCCACUCCUGCCUGCCAGAGAACAAACCCCCUUUGACUGUAAUUUUCCUUUACCUACCCAAAUCCUAUAAAACGGCUCCACCCUUAUCUCCUUUUGCUGACUCUCUUUUCUGACUCAGCCCGCCUGCACCCAGGAGAUUAAAAGCUUUAUUGCUCACACAAA